CCUACGGGCGGCAGCAGUGAGGAAUAUUGGUCAAUGGCCGGAAGGCUGAACCAGCUAUGCCGCGUGAAGGUCAGUGCCCUAUGGGCGUUAAACUUCUUUUGUGCGGGAGCAAUAAUGGUCACGUGUGGCCAGACGAGAGUACCGUACGAAUAAGCAUCGGCUAACUCCGUGCCAGCAGCCGCGGUCAUACGGGGGAGGCAAGCGUUAUCCGGAUUUAUUGGGUUUAAAGGGUGCGUAGGCUGUGAGGUGAGUAAGCGGUGAAAUGCCCCCGCUCAACGGGGUGAAGUGCCAAUGAUACUGCCGUGCUGGAAUGCGGAUGCCGUGGGAGGAAUGUGUGGUGUAGCGGUGAAAUGCAUAGAUAUCACACAGAACACCGAUUGCGAAGGCAUCUCACGAAGCCGCGAUUGACGCUGAUGCACGAAAGCGUGGGUAUCAAACAGGAUUAGAUACCCGGGUAGUC
rnacentral:rRNA from 1 species